GCUCGCGUGGUGUAGUGGUUAUCAUGCUUUCUUCACAAGAACCGACCUGUCUUGUUGGGAUCUCAUCCCAUCGUGAUCCAGAUCGUUUGAGUGUUAACGGAAGAGGCCGCCGGUUCGAACCCGGCCGUGGGCA